UCAUGCAUAUCAAUAAGCGGAGGAAAAGAAACCAACCGGGAUUGCCCUAGUAACGGCGAGUGAAGCGGCAAGAGCUCAAAUUUGAAAGCUGGCCCCCUCGGGGUCCGCAUUGUAAUUUGCAGAGGAUGCUUCGGGAACGGCCCCCAUCUAAGUGCCCUGGAACGGGCCGUCAUAGAGGGUGAGAAUCCCGUCUGGGAUGGGGUGGCCGCGCCCGUGUGAAGCUCCUUCGACGAGUCGAGUUGUUUGGGAAUGCAGCUCUAAUUGGGUGGUAAAUUUCAUCUAAAGCUAAAUAUUGGCCGGAGACCGAUAGCGCACAAGUAGAGUGAUCGAAAGAUGAAAAGCACUUUGAAAAGAGAGUUAAACAGCACGUGAAAUUGUUGAAAGGGAAGCGCUUGCGACCAGACUCGCCCGCGGGGUUCAGCCGGCACUCGUGCCGGUGUACUUCCCCGCGGGCGGGCCAGCGUCGGUUUGGGCGGCCGGUCAAAGGCCUCUGGAAGGUAACGCCUCUCGGGGCGUCUUAUAGCCAGGGGUGCCAUGCGGCCUGCCCGGACCGAGGAACGCGCUUCGGCUCGGACGCUGGCAUAAUGGUCGUAAGCGACCCGUCUUGAAACACGGACCAGC
rnacentral:sRNA from 1 species